rnacentral:tRNA from 1 species
GCCGGUGUAGCUCAGUUGGUAGAGCGCAUCCUUGGUAGGGAUGAGGUCACCGGUUCAAAUCCGGUCAUUGGCUCAA